GCGCCCGUAGCUCAACGGAUAGAGCAUCUGACUACGGAUCAGAAGGUUGGGGGUUCGAGUCCCUCCGGGCGCGC
rnacentral:tRNA from 1 species